GCCUGGGUGGCUCAGUCGGUUGAGCGUCCGACUUCGGCUCAGGUCAUGAUCUCACGGUUCGUGGGUUCGAGCCCUGCAUCGGGCU
rnacentral:tRNA from 1 species